rnacentral:lncRNA from 1 species
GUGUGGCUUGCCAGCUUUUCACAAGGCAUCUGCUGCAGUGGAGCAGGGACAGCUGUGUAAUCUGGAUCCCCAGCCACACCAAGAAACUGUUUGCCAAGGGAACUGUUGCUGGAUCAGCACUGGAUGUCAUCUGCUCAGCCUGGCUCCAACCCAGGGCUCCAUGGCAAAUCCCUUGGGUGACACCUGCCAUGUCUCGCUUGUAAAACCCACUCAGAUCUGUCCCAGCCUCUUUGAAUUAAUGCUGCUUGUAUCUUAAGCCUCUCAAUCAUGUGAGAAUUUUGUAAUGUGCUACACAGGAUCAUCUGAAAUGACCUAAGGACCUUGUGGCUCCCUUCUCUAUGGCUGCACAUGAUCACAGGGCGCUCCAGGGCACAGGCAGCUUUAUCCUGUCUCCAUCAACAGACUGCAAUCUCUACAUCAAGGAGAGAAAUAUCACCUGACAAAAGAUGGCUGAGCACAUCGUGGUGAUCCAAACCAGCCAUACAACAGCCAGGACAGGUGUGUGUACCAAACAGAAAGGAUUUAGGAACAAGUGGACUGCUUUCCACCACUGCCUUCUCAGAUGCCCACACCAAAGCAAUUACCAUAUGGGAGAUGCUGACUGGCUGGAAGAACCUGUUCAUUCUGGGUCUGUAAUGGAGUCUGUGAGGAGCUCAGCUUCCUGGUAUGGAAGAAGGAGAACUUCCUUGUCAACAACUGAGAAGAUUCUGAAGAACUCAAAGGCUCGUUUUACACCUGGAAGUGCCAUCCUCAGUGCGUGCACAGCAGUGAGGUAG